rnacentral:rRNA from 1 species
ACGCUCGACACCUACGGGGGGCAGCAGUGGGGAAUAUUGCACAAUGGGGGAAACCCGUGAUGCAGCGACGCCGCGUGAGCGAAGAAGUAUUUCGGUAUGUAAAGCUCUAUCAGCAGGGAAGAAACUGACGGUACCUGACUAAGAAGCACCGGCUAAAUACGUGCCAGCAGCCGCGGUAAUCUGAGCGGCUGGCAAGGC